rnacentral:misc_RNA from 1 species
AAAAAAAAACUAAAUUAUAAAUAAUAUAAGCAAUACCUCAAAUAUUUCAAUAUGAGCCUCAUUUUGUAUUUGAUUACAAUUCACGGGAACAAAAUUUGCAAUCCUAAUCUCUAAAAAUCAAGAACAAUAAUGAGAUGUUGAGUAUGAGAAAAAAGAAAGAAAGAAAGAAUUAAUUAAUAAACAAAACAAGCAAUUACCAAAAGAGAAACUAAAAGAAACCCAAGAAUGAAAACCAUUCAGCAUGCAAACAACACUUUCCUG